UUCAGCAAGGCAAAGUUUGCUUUAGUCAUAAAGCAGGCAGAUAUGGCUGGGACAGAAACUCUGGCACCCUGGAGGGUCAUAUACCUAAAGUUAGGUGCUUAUAGCA